rnacentral:rRNA from 1 species
UACGGGGGGGGGCAAGCGUUGUUCGGAAUUACUGGGCGUAAAGGGCUCGUAGGCGGCCAACUAAGUCGGACGUGAAAUCCCUCGGCUUAACCGGGGAACUGCGUCCGAUACUGGUUGGCUUGAGUUUGGGAGAGGGAUGCGGAAUUCCAGGUGUAGCGGUGAAAUGCGCAGAUAUCAGGAAGAACACCAAUGGCGAAAGCAGCUUUCUGGGACGGUACUGACGCUGAGACGCGAAAGCGUGGGGAGCGAACAGG